GGAGUGGCAUGUUAAAGGAACACUUUUUUGUCAGACUCACACUGCAAGGUGAGAACCUGAGGCAAAGAACACUGCCCAGUGUACUGUGGGGUGGGUGUUUGGCUCAUGGUCACAUGCUUGUGGCAUUUCCCCAAAUUAAUGCUUGCUUCCUUUCCCCUUUUUAUUGAAAGGUUUCUUUUCUAUACUCAGACUCAGUGCUUGCCAGAGGGGAAGUAUUGCCUCUUCGAGGUCCCCAAGGGCAGUGUAAUUUUUCCCAGAUUGCUGGUGGGGGACUCAAGCCGCUUCUGGGUUAUAUUGUUAAGAGGGAUCCCUAGACAUUGAACCCAACCCCACCUGGCAGAAGAGUUACAUUUGAAAAAACAGUUACUUCUACUCUAAAGAGCUAAUAGAGAAAACCUGCAUUGCCAGCUGCUUCCUGGCCAACUAGCCACAGGUCGAGCUCUUUCACGUGGACAUCUUGUCUGUUGAGCUAGAGGACUAUGUGAUGGGUUGAGGAGACCAAACUAGCCAGGAAACAUGCAUGAAUCUAAGGAACACCAAAUAUUACAAGAAUCAUAAUAAAAUCAUGGGAGUUGACACUGCUAACUCCCUUGAGCCCCUUUGAAAACCCCAGUGGAAGAGUAAAACUUUUAUUUCAGGAUAAGAGAGAGAGUUCAGUGCAGUGACUUGCUAGCUAACAUUCUGCAUCUAAACUGAAACACAAAAUGGCUACUUCCUCACAGCUGCCCCAAUGUCAGAGAGAUUGUUUGUCUACAGUGCUGAAAAUCUGCUAAAAAAGCAUUGUUCAGAACAAUUUCUGACUUCAGAUCAAAUUCGGCGAGUAGUUUCAGCCAAGCAAAAAAAUUGGAAAUGUCAAAAAGCGUUUCAACAUGUUUGAACUGAACUGUUUAGACAUUUUAUUUUGAAAAUAUAGUUUCGCAUUGACAUUUUGUUUAGAAAAUGUCACCAUUUCAUUUUGACAUGUCAUUUUAAGUUUUUCAUUUCAUAGAGAAAAAACAAAACUUCUGGUUCAGUUUGAAACUAAUUUUUCCUCCCAGAUUUUCAGUUUGGUCACUGAACCAAAAUAUAAAUCAUUGACCCAGCUCUAUACUCCAGUGCUCUGUCCAGUCUGAGUUAUAAAUGGCUCAUGCUGUUGGGGCUUUAUUCAGAUUACACCACUGUUGCACUUAGGCUUUGGCUACACUGACGCUGUGCAGCGCUGCAACUUGCUGCGUUCAGGGGUGUGAAAAAACAUCCCCCUGAGCGCAGCGAGUAUAGCGCCAGUGUAAUCAGUGCCUACAGUGCUGCACGCUCGCUCGCAGCGCUGCAAGCUAAUCCCCUCGGAGAGGUGGAGUACAUACAGUGCUGUGAAGUUCCGAGUGUAGCCAAGCCCUUUGUAGAGGAAGAAGCAAUGAUGUAUCUCUCAUGGAUAUAACCACUCAGCCACUCCCAUCCCUGUUAAAUUCCCAGUCACCACCCAGCACUUACUCCUAUAAAAUACUUUACCCAGAUCCUUAAAGGUGCCUAAAUACCUUGUGGACCUGGGCCCUUGCAACUUCUUGACAUUUAACCCUGACAUCGCUAUCCCACUGAAUUUGCACCUGUAGAUACCCCCAAGUCAUUGUGUGACUUUUAGCCUGUAAAUACCCAGCUAAUCUAUGGCUUCUGAAACUGUAAAUACCCAGUCACUCAAAAAAGAAAAAAAUACUCUUUAUAUCUUGCUCCACCAUGUCUUAUCCUGUAAUCAGGACAUUUUUGCUCUGCCGGUCCCCAGCCAUUCCCAGUUGCUUCCUUGCUAAGGUGCACACAUACAUGUGGCCAGACCAAGGCCAGGACACUAGGUUAUCUCUGAGAACUGCCAUGGGGUGUUUAUUUUGCUCUGGUGAGGCCAUGAGAGAGUACAGGACAAGGUUGGGUUAACCCCUCUGUCCUAGCACAAGACCUUGCACACAGCAGGAACUGCACACAGGGAUACUACCUAUGCUGAAAUCUGCUUAGCUGGGGACAAAUAAAGCUGGGGUUUAAGGUAGACCCCAAGACGACGACUCCUGAGGAGACCCAGUGCUUGGUAAAUGUGACAAACAUGGUCAGUAGGGGACCUUGCAGGCUCCAAUGAUGGAGCAGUGAGGGGGUUGGCAUCAGAAGAAUGGGCAUGCCUGACCCCUGCCUGCUAAGCUAUGGGCAAAUGUUCCUCUCAGCCAGUUCUUCUAGUCCCCUCCCCCACCAUAACACCACUUGCUAUGCGUGUAAUCUGCAGGUUACUAUAGCCCCCCAUAGGGAGCACCAAGGCCAGGGUAGACCAGAACACCAUGUUUAGCAUUUCAUGAAGUCACAUCUGCUUGUGUAUUCCCCUGUCCCCCCCCCCCUUUGUGCUGAGCAGCCUGAAUGCAUCAAAAAGGAGGUGACCCAGAGCUCCCUCCUCUGCACAAAAGGUAAGGGCAUCUCUCCAAAUUCUGUACUGCUGAGACUAGAACCAGCAGGGAGGGCAGCAAAGGGAGGGAAUCUACAGUGUCUCCCUCAGUUCCCAGCUAACAUGAUAUGCUCAGAAUACCCCCACGUAAAACAAACCCUUGGUGUGAACUGGUAGCUAGGACUCUUGCAAAACACUGUGAAUGCCUGUUAUAUUGCACUGCCCCUAAUAUUACAUCCACACUAAGGACCAAGGACAGCCAAAACUCCAUCAAAAUCCACUCCAGCAAAUCCUUCAAAAGGAGCUUGCAAGUGGACAGCAAAAACCACCUGCUGCUUCAGCAGACUGCCCUGCCUGAUGUUCCCUGUAUGUGAAUGGCAAUGGCUGUGUCUAUGGGCAUGGCAACACUGGAAACUUCAAAGCGCUGUCGCAGGAACGCUCCUGGGGCAGUGCUUUGAAGUGCGAGUGUGGUUGUGCGCGAACGCUGGGAGAGAGCUCUCCCAGUGCUCCUGGUAAUCCACCUCCACGUGCUCCCAGCACUUGGAGCCUGUUUACACUAGCGCUUUAAAGCGCUCUGACUUGCUGCGCUCAGGGAGGUGAUUUUUCACACCCCUGAGCCAGCAAGUUAGAGCGCUAUAACAUGUAAGUGUAGUCAAACCCUAUGUGCAGCUCAAAGAUCCCCAGCCCACUGCCCCUCACUGUGGGGCAGCUCCACCCAGUAAUGAACCAUUCUUGAGUUUGCCUCUUUUUUGUUCUUUGGUACAUUCAUUCUUUCUUUGUUUCUUUUGUUCUUUGUUUCAUUCUUUAUUCAUUCUUUCUUUCAUGUAUCCUGUUCCUGUGUUUCCUUCACGGUUUUGAAGGAACUCUUUUUCUUAAGCCUCUUCAGAUCAAUUCUGCACCCAGAAGAGUAGAUUUAUUUUUUUAGCUUUAGAAUCUCUGAGUGGUACAUGAGGCAACCCAUUUUUCCCACUGCUGUCUGUCCAGAGCAAAUGAGUCACUCCAAUGUAAGUUGUCUCCAUGAUGGCAGCAUCAUUUUCAAUCAUCCUGCUCAGAGAAGUAGAUGCAUUUCCAAGUGAAAUUUAUGCCAAUUACAUCCUAUUGCGCUCUUUUUGGUUUUCCUCUUUCCCAGGCAGUGAGGUUUCUGGGUGACAUUAACUGCAAUGCAUUGUGUCUCCAUUGCAGAUACAAUCAUCUGCAGGGAGGAGUCUGUGUGCUGUAGUAGGAGUCAAAAUUGAAUCUGGAUCUGAACUUAAUGUGGAAAAGAGAGGAUAGAGGCAGAUCUGUCAGAAAGGUGUUUGAGAACUGCCACAGUGUUAAAUGCAGGAUGGGAGUGAUUGGGAUUUUAUUGUCAGGAUUAUUUUCCCUUUGUUAUAGACAAUCCUGAGAUACAAGAUCCUCGUGCCCAAAAAGACAUCUGGGUUCAAUCUCUCUCUGCAGACAUUGAAUGCUUCCUGCACAGCAGCCUUGCAGCAAAGUUUGAUCUGCUCCUUUCAGACAAGUCACUUCCCACCAUUGCCCCAGCUCCCUGAAUGACAAGAACCAGCCAACUGGGAAACGGGGGAGAGGAUGGUUUAAAACAGGACUACCGAUUAUAAAUAUUGUUACAAAUCUGGGGCACCCAAGGACUUCCCUGUUGUCACUCUGCUGAACUGCAUAGCCUCUCAGGGCUGCACUAUGACUGUGUGCAUAGGACUUGGCUUCUCCUACCCCAAAAACCUGGGCCUCAAUGACUGGAGUAAAAGGAGAUUCUCCACUAGAUGUUAGCAGUAUAGAGCCUGUGAUACACAACUAAGCAUUUCUGAUUCAUCCAACAAUGCCCUGCAGUGCAUAUAUAUACUAAAUAGCUGGGUACAGUGUUAGUGCUGUUUUAUAAUGGGGAUGAUUCACCUUUACUCCCUGCAGCCCUUUAGCCCUCCCUGGGCUCAGUCGUUAAAUAGUCCCAGCCCUGGUAUGGGGCCAUAUCCCCAGUGCUUCGUCCCUGGAGAUACGACCUUCCUACGGCCGGGUUCAGUCCCAGCAUCUAGCCAGGAGCUCCUUCCUUGCUCCCCCGGUCCCUACUAGCAAAUUGUCUUUGGCUCAGUCCUGGCAGCCAGCCAGGAGCCUCUCGCAGCCCCAGUCCCUUCCCUCACUUAGCUGUCUGUGUGCCUGCUGCUCUUCAGCCAGGCACACACUCCUUUCUUUUCCAGCUCCAAACAGCAAUUAACUGCUGAUCUGUUCUACAGCUCCUUUUAUAUGGCCCUCCUGGCCCCGAUUGGCUGUUCUAGCAGCCCCGCUGAUUGAUUGCUUCCGCGCAACCACUCUAAGCUGCUUGGAGGCUCUCUCCACAGCUCCUUUCCUGGGAUGGGUGUGGCAAACCCUGAGGCCUCCAGCAGGGGGCCUUGGGCCUAGUCCAACCCAUCACAAGCCCCCAGAUAACAAAGUCCAAUAAUUUUGGAUCAUGUCCCUGUACUAUGGUCCUAGUGAAACACUUGAAACAUUAGCUCCCUCACUCUGCAUGGAACUUACUGUGCUUCAUGGCAAAACCCUUUCUGUCUCUAGGUGUUUAUAGAGCACCAGCACCACAGAAACCAGGCACUGUAUUAAGAGGCCUCCACUCAAGCCCUGUCCCUCCAGGGGGCCUUUCGCUACCCUCUCUCUCUUCCAUGUCAUUAAGUUAUCACAGUGCAACAGGUAAAUCAGAAAGAUCUUCACAGGCUAUUCGUGCUCUGGAGCAGAACGUUUCCUCCUCAUUCGUGGUCCAGACUAAUCCAGUCUCUCUCAUUUCAGUUAUGCCAGGACGUGCAAUAGCUCCAGUAUGGCCAUUGUUGAUGGUAAGAUGCUCUCAGGCUUCAUCCCUUCAGAUCAUCCUGGUAGAAGCCUUGUUUAAAGCUUCAGGAUGAUCGUGUGAUGAUGCAGGUGGAAACCAAGAACUGUGUCCCCUUCUACAUGGAGAACAUAAAUUCAAAAAGAAAUUUUUCCCUCUGGUGUUAUAUAUGUCUACAAGUUUUAAACAGAUGCCUUUUGAAAAUUUUUAGUCUCAAGGCCAAAAAUCUUAACAAGACAACUGUAAAGAAACUGAUCAGAUGAACAGGGACUCUCUGGGCUCUCACCUCUGCCAUGCAAGGUCUCUCAGAAGAAUAUCAGUUUAUCUUUCUCAGCUGAGCAAGAACUUCCUGUGUCCAACAUCAAACCAGUUUCAGUGCUGAUCUACGGUUACUAUAAAAGAGCUGUAGGGACAGAAACAAACUCUGCAUCUUUCCACCGAGGAGGCAAGAGGUCAGCAUACUUGUAUCAUGAAUGGAAAAUCACAGCCUAGGUUGGCUGUAAUACACUGGAAGGAUUUGGGGCAAACACGUCUUGUUGAGUGCCGCACAGCCUGUGGUCAGACAUCUCACCCGGAAAGCAGCUGCAAGUCUGCAGCGAUUAGAGCAACAUGACAAACAUGGAAUGUGAACUGAGGAAAGAAGCCAGACAGCUUAUUUCCCUCUGACUAUAGACUCUUAGUAAAUGUUACACUUACAAUCUGAUUGACUGCACGCUGUGACUGUCCAGUGGUAACUUGGCUAGAUUCAACCCUAGUGUUUAUAUCCCCUCCAUGAACUCCCUCCAGAUCUAAAAGACCACACAUGACCGUGGUUCCACACAGACUGAGAACAGUAGUUGGUCAAAGCAUGUAACAUUCCCCAUAAUAAACUUUUCAAAUUCCA